rnacentral:rRNA from 1 species
CCAAUAGCGUAUAUUAAAGUUGUUGCAGUUAAAAAGCUCGUAGUUGAAUUUCGGGGUUAGUAGGUUGGUCAUGCCUCUGGUAUGUACUGGUCUCACUGAUUCCUCCUUCCUGAUGAACCGUAAUGCCAUUAAUUUGGUGUUUCGGGGAAUUUGGACUGUUACUUUGAAAAAAUUAGAGUGUUUAAAGCAAGCUAACGCUUGAAUACAUUAGCAUGGAAUAAUGAAAUAGGACGUUCGAUCCUAUUUUGUUGGUUUCUAGGAUUGACGUAAUGAUUAAUAGGGAUAGUUGGGGGCAUUAGUAUUCAAUUGUCAGAGGUGAAAUUCUUGGAUUUAUUGAAGACUAACUACUGCGAAAGCAUUUGCCAAGGAUGUUUUCAUUAAUCAAGAACGAAAGUUAGGGGAUCGAAGACGAUCAGAUACCGUCGUAGUCUUAACCAUAAACUAUGCCGACUAGGGAUCGGAUGAUGUUAAUUUUUUAAUGACUCAUUCGGCGCCUUACG